rnacentral:rRNA from 1 species
GUCGAGAAUCUUCCACAAUGGGCGAAAGCCUGAUGGAGCGACGCCGCGUGAAUGAAGAAGUCCUUCGGGAUGUAAAAUUCUUUUCUAAGGGAGCAAUCUCUCCGAUUUAUCGGAGUUUGAGUGUACUUUAGGAAUAAGGGGUUGCUAAACUCGUGCCAGCAGCAGCGGUAAUACGAGUACCCCGAGCGUUGUCCGGAAUUACUGGGCGUAAAGCGUCUGUAGGGGGUUUGGUGCGUCUUUUGUUAAAUCCCAAUGCUUAACAUUGGGGCUGCAGGAGAAACGGCCAGACUAGAGGAUGUGAGAGGCUGAUGGAACUCAGAGAGAAGGGGUGAAAUCCGUUGAUACUCUGAGGAACACCAAAGGCGAAGGCAUUCAGCUGGCAUAUUCCUGACCCUGAGAGACGAAAGUGUGGGGAGCGAACAGGAUUAGAAACCCCGGUAGUCC